rnacentral:rRNA from 1 species
GACGAACGCUGGCGGCGUGCUUAACACAUGCAAGUCGAACGGAAAGGCCCUGCUUUUGUGGGGUGCUCGAGUGGCGAACGGGUGAGUAACACGUGAGUAACCUGCCCUUGACUUUGGGAUAACUUCAGGAAACUGGGGCUAAUACCGGAUAGGAGCUCCUGCUGCAUGGUGGGGGUUGGAAAGUUUCGGCGGUUGGGGAUGGCCUCCCGGCUUUUCAGCUUGUGGGUGGGGUAGUGGCUUACCAAGGCUUUGACGGGUAGCCGGCCUGAGAGGGUGACCGGGCACAUUGGGACUGAGAUACGGCCCAGACGCCUACGGGAGGCAGCAGGGGGGAAUAGUGCACAAUGGGCGGAAGCCUGAUGCAGCAACGCCGCGUGCGGGAUGACGGCCUUCGGGUUGUAAACCGCUGUCGCCUGUGACGAAGCGUGAGUGACGGUAAUGGGUAAAGAAGCACCGGCUAACUACGUG